rnacentral:rRNA from 2 species
CCAAGACGAUGACGCAUAACUGGUUUGAGAGGAUGAUCAGUCACACUGGAACUGACGACACGGUCCAGACUCCUACGGGAGGCAGCAGUGGGGAAUAUUGCACAAUGGACGAAAGUCUGAUGCAGCAACGCCGCGUGGAGGAUGACACAUUUCGGUGCGUAAACUCCUUUUAUAUAAGAAGAUAAUGACGGUAUUAUAUGAAUAAGCACCGGCUAACUCCGUGCCAGCAGCCGCGGUAAUACGGAGGGUGCAAGCGUUACUCGGAAUCACUGGGCGUAAAGAGCGUGUAGGCGGAUUGAUAAGUUUGAAGUGAAAUCCUAUAGCUUAACUAUAGAACUGCUUUGAAAACUGUUAAUCUAGAAUGUGGGAGAGGUAGAUGGAAUUUCUGGUGUAGGGGUAAAAUCCGUAGAGAUCAGAAGGAAUACCGAUUGCGAAGGCGAUCUACUGGAACAAUAUUGACGCUGAGACGCGAAAGCGUGGGGAGCAAACAGGAUUAGAUACCCUGGUAGUCCACGCCCUAAACGAUGUACACUAGUUGUUGUGAGGCUCGACCUUGCAGUAAUGCAGUUAACACAUUAAGUGUACCGCCUGGGGAGUACGGUCGCAAGAUUAAAACUCAAAGGAAUAGACGGGGACCCGCACAAGCGGUGGAGCAUGUGGUUUAAUUCGACGAUACACGAAGAACCUUACCUGGACUUGACAUAGUAAGAAUGAUUUAGAGAUAGAUUAGUGUCUGCUUGCAGAAACUUGCAUACAGGUGCUGCACGGCUGUCGUCAGCUCGUGUCGUGAGAUGUUGGGUUAAGUCCCGCAACGAGCGCAACCCUCGUCCUUAGUUGCUAACAGUUCGGCUGAGAACUCUAAGGAGACUGCCUACGCAAGUAGGAGGAAGGUGAGGAUGACGUCAAGUCAUCAUGGCCCUUACGUCCAGGGCUACACACGUGCUACAAUGGGGUAUACAAAGAGCAGCAAUACGGUGACGUGGAGCAAAUCUCAAAAAUGCCUCCCAGUUCGGAUUGUAGUCUGCAACUCGACUACAUGAAGUUGGAAUCGCUAGUAAUCGUAGAUCAGCUAUGCUACGGUGAAUACGUUCCCGGGUCUUGUACUC